GCGAGUGAAGCGGCAAAAGCUCAAAUUUGAAAUCUGGCAUUUUUCAAUGUCCGAAUUGUAAUUUGUAGAAGCGACUUUGGUCUUGGUCCUUGCAUAUGUUCCUUGGAAUAGGACAUCAUAGAGGGUGAGAAUCCCGUUCAUGGUGAGGAAUCCUUGGCUUUGUAAAGCGCUUUCGAAGAGUCGAGUUGUUUGGGAAUGCAGCUCUAAGUGGGUGGUAAAUUCCAUCUAAAGCUAAAUAUUGGCGAGAGACCGAUAGCGAACAAGUACAGUGAUGGAAAGAUGAAAAGAAGACCGAAAGGUCAGUGAAAAAGGACGUGAAAUUGUUGAAAGGGAAGCGUUUGAGAUCAGUCUUGGGAUUUAGUGAUCAGUCUUCCUUUUGGUUGGUGCACUCACUAUUUUCCAGGCCAACAUCAGUUUUUGCGGUAGGAUAAUGACUUUGGAAUGUGGCUUCUUCGGAAGUGUUAUAGCCUUUGUUG
rnacentral:rRNA from 1 species